rnacentral:rRNA from 1 species
GACGAACGCUGGCGGCGUGCCUAAUACAUGCAAGUAGGACGCAGUUGCGGACGGGUGAGUCACGCGCAGGUUACUACCUAUUAGAGGGGGCUAACUAUUGGAAACGAUAGCUAAUACCGCAUACUAGUAGAUGGACCUACGUUGGAUUAGCUAGUUGGUAGGGUAAUGGCCUACCAAGGCAACGAGUCAUAGCCGGGCUGGGAGGGUGAACGGCCACACUGGGACGUGGACACGGCCCAGACUCCUACGGGAGGCAGCAGUGGGGAAUCUUCCGCAAUGGGGGGAAGUCUGACCGAGCAACGCCGCGUGAGUGAAGAAGGUCUUCGGGUUGUAAAGCUCUGUUGUUAAGGAAGCGGUACCGGACAAGAAAGCGACGGCUAACUACGUGCCAGCCGCCGCGGUAAUAC